AGUGGCGAACGGGUGAGUAACACGUGAGUAACCUGCCCCUGACUCUGGGAUAAGCGUUGGAAACGACGUCUAAUACUGGAUAUGACUGCCGGCCGCAUGGUCUGGUGGUGGAAAGAUUUUUUGGUUGGGGAUGGACUCGCGGCCUAUCAGCUUGUUGGUGAGGUAAUGGCUCACCAAGGCGACGACGGGUAGCCGGCCUGAGAGGGUGACCGGCCACACUGGGACUGAGACACGGCCCAGACUCCUACGGGAGGCAGCAGUGGGGAAUAUUGCACAAUGGGCGAAAGCCUGAUGCAGCAACGCCGCGUGAGGGAUGACGGCCUUCGGGUUGUAAACCUCUUUUAGUAGGGAAGAAGCGUAAGUGACGGUACCUGCAGAAAAAGCACCGGCUAACUACGUGCCAGCAGCCGCGGUAAUACGUAGGGUGCAAGCGUUGUCCGGAAUUAUUGGGCGUAAAGAGCUCGUAGGCGGUUUGUCGCGUCUGCUGUGAAAUCCCGAGGCUCAACCUCGGGCUUGCAGUGGGUACGGGCAGACUAGAGUGCGGUAGGGGAGAUUGGAAUUCCUGGUGUAGCGGUGGAAUGCGCAGAUAUCAGGAGGAACACCGAUGGCGAAGGCAGAUCUCUGGGCCGUAACUGACGCUGAGGAGCGAAAGCGUGGGGAGCGAACAGGA
rnacentral:rRNA from 2 species